AUUGAACGCUGGCGGCAUGCCUUACACAUGCAAGUCGAACGGUAACGGGUCCUUCGGGAUGCCGACGAGUGGCGAACGGGUGAGUAAUGUAUCGGAACGUGCCCAGUUGUGGGGGAUAACUGCUCGAAAGAGCAGCUAAUACCGCAUACGACCUGAGGGUGAAAGCGGGGGAUCGCAAGACCUCGCGCAAUUGGAGCGGCCGAUAACAGAUUAGGGAGUUGGUGGGGGAAAGGCCUACCAAGCCUACGAUCUGUAGCUGGUCUGAGAGGACGACCAGCCACACUGGGACUGAGACACGGCCCAGACUCCUACGGGAGGCAGCAGUGGGGAAUUUUGGACAAUGGGGGAAACCCUGAUCCAGCCAUGCCGCGUGCGGGAAGAAGGCCUUCGGGUUGUAAACCGCUUUUGUCAGGGAAGAAAUCCUUUGAACUAAUACUUCGGAGGGAUGACGGUACCUGAAGAAUAAGCACCGGCUAACUACGUGCCAGCCGCCGCAGUAA
rnacentral:rRNA from 1 species